ensembl:lncRNA
AGCCCAGCUGCUCCCGAAGAUUAAAAAUAGCCAUGGUAUGACCUCUGCUUCCAAGGGUGAUUGCCCUAUCUCUGUGUCUCCUCGACACCCAAACAAAUUAAGCUUGGAAGUUCCUCCCGUUGUCUAAUUUUAGUCUCUCCUGCUGCAGUUCAGUCUUUUUGAGUCAAACCAAUUCCUACCCUCUCUGCAGAAGUUGAUGAUGCACAAGAUUAUCACAGGCAGUCUGUCUUCCAGCGACAACCAGCCAUGGGCAGCCUUCUACCUGGUGGGACAGAUUUCAAGGCCUCCUGUUCUGCUAAAUGCUGAAACAGCGUCUGGGGUGCCCACCCAUUCAGCGCACUCUGUGACAUGGUGACAGCAUCUCCUCGUCUGCAGAACUUUCCUCAAGAACGGACCAAGGACAAGGGCGGACAGAGCUUGAAAGACGUGAACGCUGUGCCUCUCCAGGAGGAAUCUCCCAUAAUUCUCCAGUUCUAGGGAACAACAGAGUCACCUACUGACACAGUGGGUGUUUUGGUCAAUUUUUGUCCCUCCAGCGAAAAAUUCAUGUGUCAGAAGUCCAGUGGUUAAGAUUCCCCACUUCUAAUGCAGGAGGCAUGGGUCCGAUCCCUGAUUGGGGUGUGCAGGUGAGUGGGUGGGUUGGUUGGUGGGUAGAUGGGUCAGAUGGGGGGUGGGGGAUUGGAUUAGUGGGUAAAUAGGGUGGGUGGUGGGUAAAUACAUGGAUGGAUGGCUAGAGACAGAGAGAUACAGAUAGAUACCCAAAACUCAGGUUACAAAGGAAGGGAAAGGGGAUUAAAAAAGGAAAGACCCCCUAAGUCAAGCUUGACAGUCAUCACAGAGAACAAAAUAAAGGCAGAAGGAGUGUCCCCUCUACCAAGAUCAGUGAAAACCCUGCUUUAUUUCUAGGUCCCAACAGAAUUGCUAUAACCCCACGAAGCCCAAAUCAGUUCUAAGUGGGAGGGGGAAGUGGGAGGCUGUGGGGAUUGGGUCAUGUGCCUUUUUCCUGGAAGAAGGGAGUGUACCCUGGAGCCUAGCACCCUCCGGAGAGGUCCUGCUGACCAGCCGAGGGCAGCAGCCUUGCUGGGGGACGUCGUCUGGGAACCACCACUGGCCGGUUGCCAUGGGUUCAGGAGUCCGAGUGCACAGAGGUUGCCUUGGGGAUGCUGGAAGAGGCAGCAUUUCUGGCCAGCCCAGUGAAAUACCACCUCCCCCAGCGUCUCCCGCCAACAGGAAGAACUUCUUGUGUUCCCAUCUCUCUUCUGCUGCCUCUCUGACCACCUCCCUCCUUCAUCCUGACAAGUGCAAACCGAGUCUCCACGUCGAUGUACUUUCACUGCAUUAAAAUUUCCAAGUUGGUACUUUUCCCAUGUUGAGUGCUCUUUGGGUGGAAUGUGCAUGUUGACAUCCACAAAACCCCUUUUCUGCACAGGUAGGUGGCCUGCAGCUCUGCUCAGGAGGGUCUGGUCCAGUCACAUGAGCCUUAGAGAAUGCAUCCUGCCCCGUGUCCUUUCUAUGUUCCAACACCUGGGAUCCCACUGGCUCCUGUUACAACCGAGCCAGGACCAACAG